rnacentral:rRNA from 1 species
CAAUAGCGUAUAUUAACGUUGUUGCAGUUAAAAAGCUCGUAGUUGGAUUUCUGGAGGGAGCGUCGGCCCGUAUUUACGAGUGCGUGACGUCUCUGUCCAUCCUUGCGGGAAGGCACGGCAUUGAUUUGUUGUGUCGGAUCGCAUCAUUUACUGUGAAAAAAUUAGAGUGUUCAAAGCAGGCUUUCGCUUGAAUACAUUAGCAUGGAAUAAUAAGAUAGGACUUUGGUGCUAUUUUGUUGGUUGAGCCUAAAGUAAUGAUUAAUAGGGAUAGUUGGGGGCACCUGUAUUGCGUUGUCAGAGGUGAAAUUCUUGGAUUUACGCAAGACAAACAGCUGCGAANGNGUCUGGNAAGGAUGUUUNCAUUG